CACUGACCUUCGAUGGUUUGUUGCCUGAUAAAGAGGAUACUUGCUGGCUAGAGGAGACUAUAAUGUUUUGAGGAGGAAAUGUGGCUCGAUGACUUAAAGAGGAGGAGGAAUUAUUGGGCGACACUUUUAAUUACCAACGUAACCUCAGUGGAACUGUGGCUUCAUCGAGUUCCAGCUCUAGGCAGACAGCACGUCAGGAAGGCUGUAAGACAUCACAGAGACAGAUGCUUGGCUUUUUCUUUGUCUUUGUGUUGGAGAUUGGCUCUGAUGUUUCAGCCUCUUCUGGAGCUUCUAGCUGCUGGCUGUCUGGCCCCCCCUGAUGGUUCUCUGGCCCCUCCUGCUGGUUCUCUGAACUCCCCUCCUGGUUGUCUGCCCAUGCCUGUUGCCUCUCUUGGCUUACCUGCUGGCCUGUGGCCCACCUGGGCAACUCCUGACCGUGGUUGUAAUCGUGGCUGUGUUGGGUGGUUAGACACCGGGUGUUGAUUUGAGCAUCAGCCUCCAGAUUCAUCUGCUCCAGCCUUCAGCAGCUCCUUCCUCUUCUCCCUCUCUCUCUCUGCCCGGGUCAUGGUGGAUGUUAGCCUUGUGUGUCCAGGGAUGGCUGGGAGGGGAG
ensembl:lncRNA